UGGCUUCAGGACACCACAGGCCC
rnacentral:piRNA from 1 species